rnacentral:rRNA from 1 species
AUUGAACGCUAGCGGGAUGCUUUACACAUGCAAGUCGAACGAGUGGCGGACGGGUGAGUAAUAUAUCGGAACGUGCCCAGUAGCGGGGGAUAACCACUCGAAAGUGUGGCUAAUAGCGCAUACUAUUGGAGCGGCCGAUAUCGGAAUAGCUAGUUGGUGGGGUAAAGGCUCACCAAGGCCACGACCCGUAGCUGGUUUGAGAGGACGACCAGCCACACUGGGACUGAGACACGGCCCAGACUCCUACGGGAGGCAGCAGUGGGGAAUUUUGGACAAUGGGGGAAACCCUGAUCCAGCCAUGCCGCGUGUAUGAGAAGGCCUUAGGGUUGUAAAGUACUUUUGGCAGAGAAGCGGUAUCUGCAGAAUAAGCACCGGCUAACUACGUGCCAGCAGCCGCGGUAAUAC